rnacentral:lncRNA from 1 species
AAAAUAGAAAAAAAUUUUAUAAAAAGUUUUUAUACUUUUUCGAGAGACCAAAUAACUCUUAAAAGAUUAUGAAUCAUUUACCGUCGUCCUAUUCAGAAAAAAAAAAAAAAAAAUUGAACAAUUCAUCAUUUUUUUAUUUCACAUAUAUAAUUCUAUCAAUCACAAAAUAAAAAAUCUUAGCAAAUCACAUGCAAUUCUAACAACUUAAAAAAAAAAUCCUAACAAUCCACACAUAUAAUUCUAACAAUAAAAUAAAAAAGUUCACAAAUAACGAUAAGAAUUUGAAAAUGUGAAUAAUUCACCACUUUUUAAAUACGUGAUUCUUAUCUUAUUGUGUUGAGUUAACAAAAUAGAAAUUAAUUUGUUAUUUACAAUUUUAAUUUGACAGAAUUAUGCGACAAGUUAUAAAUUUUAAAAAGUUAUUGUAAAAAAGAGACCAUUUAUCUCGAAACCUUUACAACUCAAUAUGAGAAGCACAUCUUAUACCCUCGAUUUGAGAGUUUAAAAAACUCUUUUAAAUUUUUAAUUUAAAAUAUAAAAUUCGACAUGAUAAUACAGUGUAAAAUUUACAUUUAUAUUAUAGAUGUACAGAUAGUAUUACUCAAAAUAGAAUAUGUGUGAAGAAUGAAUACUUCAUUUAGAAGUAACUAAAGAUGUUCAUAUUUGUAUAAUUUUCAGCCAUGAGACAUCCGAAUCGACAGUUGACAUUGUUAAAUAAAAUUUAUAUUAUAUGAACUAGAGAUUAGAGAUGUCAACGGGUCGGAUUCGGGGCGGAUUUUUAAAAACCCGAACCCGAACCCGACUCCAAACACGAGACCCGAACCCGAAUCCGAAUCCGACGGAUUUUAAAAAUUCAUAUCCAAACCCGAACCCGACCAAAAAUCCAAAACCCGAACCCGAACCCGAACCCGAACCCGAACCCGAAAAUUUGAACUCGAAACAAUUAUUUUUUUUUUCAAUAUUUCAAAAUAUAUUAUAUUAAAUCUAAAAUUUUAAAAUACAAAUUCAAAUAUAACAUCAAAUUUUUAUAUAUAUAUUAUAUAUAAUACAAAAUAAAUUCGGGUUCGGGUCGGAUACAAUCAAAAUCCAUAUCCGAAUCCAUAUCCGUCGGGUUUCUAUUUUUAAUAUCUAUAUCCGAAUCCAUAUCCAUAUCCAUCGGAUAUAUCCAUUUCAUUCGGGUUCGGAUUCGAAUAAAAUUUCGGAUAUCCAUAUCCAUUGACAUCCCUACUAGAGAUGACAAUUUUUUUUUUU